GGUUGAUCCUGCCAGUACAAUAUGCUUGUCUCAAAGAUUAAGCCAUGCAUGUCCAAGUAUAAACAAUUUUAUACAGUGAAACUGCGUACAGCUCAUUACAUCAGUUAUAAUUUCUUUGAAUAUGUAAUUACUAAAUGGAUAACCGUAGUAAUUCUAGAGCUAAUACAUGCGUGAAUGUUUAUCUUUAUUGAUGGACAGUGUUUAUUAGUUAUCAAGUUUGUUUUUUCAAGCUGAGUCAUAGUAACCAUAUACGAAUCUUUCUAAUCGAAAGAUGGUUCAUUCAAAUUUCUGC
rnacentral:rRNA from 1 species